rnacentral:misc_RNA from 1 species
AAUUAACGUAGCUUGAUAUCGAGUGUUGUAUCAUGUAAUUAUUUAUUCUUGAAACAGAUAAGCCUAAAGUUUGUUACAUUGUGCUCGUCAAUGUGAUACGUAGAUGGUCCAGAACUUAUAAUAAAUAAAAUAUAAUACGUACAUAUAUUUUAUAAAAAUUAUGAAAAAAUGGAAAAAAACUACAUACAUGGUUGCCACUUAUUUGUUUUUACUGGAACUUCGGCCACUAGAACCAUUUAUGACGGCUUAUUUAAUAGGACCAGAUGCAGACUUGUCUCUUAACGAGGUAGCCACCGUGAUUGAGUACCUCAAAACAUAUUCAGCGCUAUUAAUAUCAGUGUUAAUGUUUAUGACUGCUGACUAUCUUAUGUAUAAGCCAAACAUUAUAUUUUUGACUGUUUGUUCAUGUGUCGCCUAUUUCCUCAUGACUGGUGCACCCAGUGUUGCGCAGCUUAGGCUGUCCUCGUGUGGUAUCGGGGCAAUAUAUAGCUGUGAUAUGAUAGCAUUCUGUUAUUUGUAUGCCAAGAUCGAGGACGUUGAAAAAUUUCAGAUGGCCACUGGUAUUGCUUCGGCAGCCAUACAACUUGGUAAAGUUGUCGGAGAUUUCUUAGCUCAAACCAUAGUCAACGUGACCGGAGGGAUUUAUACUAUCUUGCCAUACAGCAACGUGUUCAGUUUGUUGUUAGCUACAACCUGGGCUUGUUUGUUUCCAUCUGUCGAACAGAAUAGUGAUAGGCUAAAUUCAAAAGGGCCAUGUGAAGAUUCGUCACUUCUUAAACACGGUGUAGAGAAUAAAACGAAACAUUUUAAACAAAAUAAAAAUAAAAUCGAGCUCGAUAAAGAUUACAAAACUGUGGUAUUUUUCUCGAAAGAAAUAUGGACGAACUUCAAAUCUUCAUAUUCAAAUCCAGUUGUACUGAAAAAAAGUUUAUGGUAUAUAGUGGGUAUGGCAGCGUACAUUCUGGUUUUAGCUAACAUAAACGUUUUGUACUCAUACGUACUCAAAAAACCAGGAAAUCACGAUGUCUUGUCAAAUGGACUUGCCGAGGCAAUGGUUACGUUAUGUGGAGCCGCGAGUUCGUACUUAAUUGGAAAAGUGGAAUGUGAUUGGGCGCGCUAUGGUGAUAUGUUCACAGCAUUUUGCUCUAUUGUCAUGGGAGUGCUAAUAAUGUCAUGUUACUUUUAUGAUAAACUCAUUUUUAUAUAUUUGGCAUACAUAUUAUUUGGUCUCAUAUGUCAAAUGCAUUUUGUCAUAAUCUAAUAUCAUUAUGCCAUUUCAAUUUUGACACGAAAUCAUUAAAAAUUGUUGCACAAUCUUAUGACGGUGCAAGUGUAAUGUCGGGGUGUCUUAAUGGUGUUCAAGUCAAAAUAAAACAAUAUUUUCCUUCUGCCAUAUAUACUCAUUGUAUGUCUCCUAGGUUAAAUUUAGUGGUUCUGGAUAUGUGCAAAGGAAUUAAGGUGCAUUUUUCUCGACCAAGUAACAACUCAAAAUUACUUGAAAUUCAGACUGAAUUAGGAUUAAAGGAAGGCAAUAUAGG